rnacentral:tRNA from 1 species
GUCCCGUUCGUCUAGAGGCCUAGGACACCGCCCUUUCACGGCGGUAACAGGGGUUCGACUCUCCUACGGGAUACCA